CUGUUAACCUAAUACCAGAACACUUCAAGAAAGAUUAAAAGAAAGAGAAGGAAUUCGGCAAAUAUUAGUCCCGCCUGUUUACCAAAAACACCGCCUCUUGGCCCCCCAUAAGAGGUCUAGCCUGCCCAGUGACUUCUGUUCAACGGCCGCGGUAUCCUAACCGUGCAAAGGUAGCGUAAUCACUUGUCUUCUAAAUAAAGACCAGUAUGAAAGGCAUCACGAGGACUAAACUGUCUCCUCUCCCUAAUCAGUGAACCUAAUAACCCCGUGAAGAAGCGGGGAUUUUUAUAUAAGACGAGAAGACCCUAUGGAGCUUAAAACAUCAUAACACCUGCCACACACCUAUUUACCCCGGUUCUCCUCCCCGUGACACCCUGAUUAUAUGUUUUUGGUUGGGGUGACCGCGGAGAAAAACCCAUCCUCCACAAUGAAAGGGACUUCCCUAAACAGUAGGCCACAGCUUUAUGUAUCAGCAAACUGACAUCCAUUGACCCAAUAUAUUUGAUUAACGAACCAAGUUACCCUAGGGAUAACAGCGCAAUCCACUUUGAGAGCCCCUAUCGACAAGUGGGCUUACGACCUCGAUGUUGGAUCGGGGUAUCCUAGUGGUGCAGCCGCUA
rnacentral:rRNA from 1 species